CCUACGGGUCGCAGCAGUGGGGAAUAUUGCACAAUGGGCGCAAGCCUGAUGCAGCCAUGCCGCGUGUGUGAAGAAGGCCUUCGGGUUGUAAAGCACUUUCAGCGGGGAGGAAGGCGAUAAGGUUAAUAACCUUGUCGAUUGACGUUACUCGCAGAAGAAGCACCGGCUAACUCCGUGCCAGCAGCCGCGGUAAUACGGAGGGUGCAAGCGUUAAUCGGAAUUACUGGGCGUAAAGCGCACGCAGGCGGUCUGUCAAGUCGGAUGUGAAAUCCCCGGGCUCAACCUGGGAACUGCAUUCGAAACUGGCAGGCUAGAGUCUUGUAGAGGGGGGUAGAAUUCCAGGUGUAGCGGUGAAAUGCGUAGAGAUCUGGAGGAAUACCGGUGGCGAAGGCGGCCCCCUGGACAAAGACUGACGCUCAGGUGCGAAAGCGUGGGGAGCAAACAGGAUUAGAUACCCCCGUAGUC
rnacentral:rRNA from 1 species